rnacentral:tRNA from 1 species
GAGAAAGUCAUAGAGGUUAUGAAGUUGACUUGAAAUCAAUUUUAGGGGGUUCAAUUCCUCCCUUUCUUA